rnacentral:rRNA from 1 species
UACGUAGGGGGCAAGCGUUAUCCGGAUUUAUUGGGUUUAAAGGGUGCGCAGGCGGAAUGUCAAGUCAGCGGUAAAAUUUCGGGGCUCAACCCCGUCGUGCCGUUGAAACUGGCGUUCUUGAGUGAGCGAGAAGUAUGCGGAAUGCGUGGUGUAGCGGUGAAAUGCAUAGAUAUCGCGCAGAACUCCGAUUGCGAAGGCAGCAUGCCGGCUCCACACUGACGCUGAGGCACGAAAGCGUGGGUAUCGAACAGG